AACGAACGCUGGCGGCAGGCUUAACACAUGCAAGUCGAGCGCCCCGCAAGGGGAGCGGCAGACGGGGGAGUAACGCGUGGGAAUCUACCCAUCUCUACGGAAUAACGCAUGGAAACGUGUGCUAAUACCGUAUACGUCCUUCGGGAGAAAGAUUUAUCGGAGAUGGAUGAGCCCGCGUUGGAUUAGCUAGUUGGUGGGGUAAAGGCGUACCAAGGCGACGAUCCAUAGCUGGUCUGAGAGGAUGAUCAGCCACACUGGGACUGAGACACGGCCCAGACUCCUACGGGAGGCAGCAGUGGGGAAUAUUGGACAAUGGGCGUAAGCCUGAUCCAGCCAUGCCGCGUGAGUGAUGAAGGCCCUAGGGUUGUAAAGCUCUUUCACCGGUGAAGAUAAUGACGGUAACCGGAGAAGAAGCCCCGGCUAACUUCGUGCCAGCAGCCGCCGCCGUAA
rnacentral:rRNA from 1 species